rnacentral:misc_RNA from 2 species
CCCAACUAUCCCUAUUAAUCAUUACGGUUGUCCUAGAAACCAACAAAAUAAAACAACUUCGUCCUAUUCUAUUAUUCCAUGCUAAUGUAUUCCGGCAUAAGCCUGCUUUAAACACUCUAAUUUUUUCAAGGUAAAGGUCCUGACUACCCGCAACAUCCAAUAAAGGACAUUACGUAUCACCAGGCGGAUAGACCCCACACAACCAGUACUCAUCAAAAGAUGGACCGAUUGGUAGAAUCCAAAAUUCAACUACGAGCUUUUUAACUGCAACAACUUUAAUAUACGCUAUUGGAGCUGGAAUUACCGCGGCUGCUGGCACCAGACUUGCCCUCCAA